UGGGAAUAUUGCGCAAUGGGCAGCAAAGCCAUGACGCAGCGACGCCGUGUGAGGGAAGAAGGCUUUCGGUCGUAAACUCUGUCGGGAGGGAAGAACCCCCAGGAGUCGAACAGGCUCUUGGGCUGACGGUACCUCCGAAGGAAGCACCGGCUAACUCCGUGCCAGCAGCCGCGGUAAUACGGAGGGUGCGAGCGUUAAUCGGAAUCACUGGGCGUAAAGCGCACGUAGGCGGUGCCGUAAGUCGGAUGUGAAAGCCCUCGGCUCAACCGGGGAACUGCAUUCGAUACUGCGGUGCUUGAGUGCCGGAGAGGGUGGCGGAAUUCCAGGUGUAGGAGUGAAAAUCCGUAGAUAUCUGGAGGAACACCAGUGGCGAAGGCGGCCACCUGGCCGGCAACUGACGCUGAGGUGCGAAAGCGUGGGGAUCAAAACAGGAUUAGAUACCCUGGUAGUCCACGCUGUAAAACGAUGGAUACUAGGUGUCGGGGGGUUUUCACCCCUCGGUGCCGCAGUUAACGCGUUAAGUAUCCCGCCUGGGGAGUACGGUCGCAGGGCUGAAACUUAAAGG
rnacentral:rRNA from 1 species